AGGACAAUGAUCUAAAAGUGCCCAUCGACAAUAAAGCGUGGCUUAUUCGCUUUCUUCGUCCAACGAAAUACUAUCCGGAAAGCGCAUACAAGCUGAUCAAACAAUACUAUCAGUUCAAAGUAAAACAUUCUAAUAUAUACGAUGGACUUUCGCCCAAGACUGAGAAAAACAUUUUCGAUCACGAUAUACUGCAUGUUUUACCUAAACGUGACCAAGGUGGCCGCAGGAUUUUAGUUAUCGAAUUAGGAA